rnacentral:rRNA from 1 species
UACGUAGGUGGCAAGCGUUGUCCGGAAUUAUUGGGCGUAAAGCGCGCGCAGGCGGUUCUUUAAGUCUGAUGUGAAAGCCCACGGCUCAACCGUGGAGGGUCAUUGGAAACUGGAGAACUUGAGUACAGAAGAGGAAAGCGGAAUUCCACGUGUAGCGGUGAAAUGCGUAGAGAUGUGGAGGAACACCAGUGGCGAAGGCAGCUCUCUGGGACGGUACUGACGCUGAGACGCGAAAGCGUGGGGAGCGAACAGG